ACAUUGAUAGGCAACUUUACAAUCGGCAGGUGAUUUGGACACCUACACUCUGUUAAUUUGUACCCAUAUCUCUUAAAAUAUUGUUUCUUAAUCAGGUAUCAAAAAUUGUACCCUUGUCCAUGUUUAAUUUCCUUUGUAAGCAUCUCUGCCAAUUUAAGUUGAUUUCCUACCAUUCCUUUGCAAGAAUGAUAUACACUUUCUAUUGUUUCAAUGAUCUGCAUGCAAAUUUUUUUUUUUUUUUUUUUUUU
rnacentral:misc_RNA from 1 species